GAAAAAAAAAAAUCUGGAUUUUUCUGCAAGACUUGGGGAAAAAUUGACCUUCCAGAUGGCACAUGGCAUCAGAGUGUCAGAUUCAGGAACAGAGUGAAAAGUGUCAGGAAAAGAAAUUUUUCCACAAUCACAAAGAGUAGAUGCUUGAUAAAGAAUAUUGAUGUCAUCACUAUGUAUUCCCAUACAACAAUCUACCGAAAAGACUGAAGGCUAAAAGGAAAGAGCAGAAAAGUCAAUUGUUUUCUGCAGAUUCCUUCCUGAGAUACCUCAUUUUCCUGCACUAUCUAUCAAGUCAGAGCACCUACGCUGAUGCAAGAAGUGUGACCCUGAGUCCAACCCCUGCUAACAACUGGUUGCCCCACAAACUUCCUUGGGAGCAUCUAGAGGUCCG
rnacentral:lncRNA from 1 species